AGGAGUUAAAACGGAAUGGGAGGGGGUAGAAAGUAAUAUUCAGUUGGUUGUCAUAUACAAUGUCACCGCCAGAUUGGAGAAAGUCUCACACAAUGUAGCUUUAAAGAAGCAAAAGAAAAUCUCAAUACUCAAUACUAUCGAAUCCCAAUAGUUCUAGUAUUGCAAUAAAAAACUAUUGCAAUACAAAUUGAAUU